UUAUGACAUAGUUGAUACUUUGGUCCCAGGGGAAAUAAAACACAUUUUGGCUUCAUGCUCCAAAAGGAUUACAGACAAAAGUCUUGGAUCCCAUAAAGCUCCUUCGUAUUGGAUCAACAAACGAUGGGUCCUGGAGAGCAAGUUCCCAGAAUGAAUAGAAAGAAUCUGUACAGCAAGCAUCCUUUGGAACGUUUUUGCGCCAGUGAAAAUGGUUCCGCUUUUGUGGGGCUUUGUGCCAUCAAGACAGCAAAUAUGCCAAUCCACUCAGCUUGGCUCAGCACCUGCCACAAGCGAGGAGGAAACUGCGUCAACUGUGUGACGACUUAAUUUGUUUUGAGCUGAUAAUAGCCAUGAGAGAUGCCAACAAGUGAUGGCAAUUUCCAUGUCCUUGUGACUCACAGAGAUUCACCUAGAAAGCCACGUGGAUGUCUUCUGGAGGAUAAUGCCCCAUUGCACAGUUCACGGGGAUAUGGGGUACAGAGACCUCACUGCGGUUGACCUUCAAAUCUGUGAAGCACAGUAGCACUGGAGCACAGAUGCAGGACACGAUAUCUCUUUCUACAUAGUACAGUAAAACCUUGGAUUGUGAGUAACCUGUUCUGUGAGUGUUCCUCAAGACGAGUAAACAUUUCUAAUAAAUUUUGACUUGAUAAACGA